CAGAACGGUUGAUUCGUCCCGGCUGAUGAGCGAGUGUGUAUACGUCAAAACGGAAUUUGAGAUACAAAAUUCCGAAUGGCGGAGC
rnacentral:sRNA from 12 species